GGGGAAUAUUGCGCAAUGGGGGAAACCCUGACGCAGCAACGCCGCGUGAGGGAAGAAGGUCUUCGGAUUGUAAACCUUUGUCCUUGGUGACGAAACAAAUGACGGUAGCCAAGGAGGAAGCUCCGGCUAACUACGUGCCAGCAGCCGCGGUAAUACGUAGGGAGCAAGCGCUGUCCGGAUUUACUGGGUGUAAAGGGUGCGUAGGCGGCUCUGCAAGUCAGGCGUGAAAACUAUGGGCUUAACCCAUAGACUGCGUUUGAAACUGUGGGGCUUGAGUGAAGUAGAGGUAGGCGGAAUUCCCGGUGUAGCGGUGAAAUGCGUAGAGAUCGGGAGGAACACCAGUGGCGAAGGCGGCCUACUGGGCUUUAACUGACGCUGAAGCACGAAAGCAUGGGGAGCAAAC
rnacentral:rRNA from 1 species